AUUUAGGAUACAAAAAGACAAGAAGUUCAGGUAAAUGCUUUUAUUUCUUUAAUUCGUUUGGAGGUGGUUCUCAGUAGAGGUAGGGUCCCCUGCAGCCGCAGCCGCAGCUGCCGGCAAUGGACACUCCGCCAGCGGCUGGCACGACGCCUCCGAACUCCACGGCGCCCAUGAUGGGCACCUGUCCGGCGACCAGGGUCCUGCCUUCCACCGGCAGUGUACCGGCGACCGCUACAUCGCCGAUGCCUUCGCCGCCGUAAGCUGCGCCGCAACCGAGACCGAGGCCGUAAACGCCAUCAGCGAGGCCGUAAGCACCGAUACCGCGACCGUAGAUACCGUCAGCGAGGCCGUAAGCGCCGAUACCGCGACCGUAGAUACCGUCAGCGAGGCCGUAAG